rnacentral:rRNA from 1 species
AUUGAACGCUGGCGGCAUGCCUUACACAUGCAAGUCGAACGGCAGCACGGGAGUAAUCCUGGUGGCGAGUGGCGAACGGGUGAGUAAUAUAUCGGAACGUGCCCAGUCGUGGGGGAUGACGUAGCGAAAGCUACGCUAAUACCGCAUACGAUCUAUGGAUGAAAGCGGGGGAUCGCAAGACCUCGCGCGAUUGGAGCGGCCGAUAUCAGAUUAGCUAGUUGGUGAGGUAAAGGCUCACCAAGGCGACGAUCUGUAGCUGGUCUGAGAGGACGACCAGCCACACUGGAACUGAGACACGGUCCAGACUCCUACGGGAGGCAGCAGUGGGGAAUUUUGGACAAUGGGCGCAAGCCUGAUCCAGCAAUGCCGCGUGCAGGAUGAAGGCCUUCGGGUUGUAGACUGCUUUUGUACGGAACGAAACGGUGAGCUCUAAUACAGUUUGCUAAUGACGGUACCGUAAGAAUAAGCACCGGCUAACUACGUGCCAGCCGCCGCGGUAAGAC